rnacentral:rRNA from 1 species
AGUGAACGCUGGCGGUAGGCCUAACACAUGCAAGUCGAACGGCAGCACAGUAAGAGCUUGCUCUUACGGGUGGCGAGUGGCGGACGGGUGAGGAGUACAUCGGAAUCUACUUUUUCGUGGGGGAUAACGUAGGGAAACUUACGCUAAUACCGCAUACGACCUACGGGUGAAAGCAGGGGAUCUUCGGACCUUGCGCGAUUGAAUGAGCCGAUGUCGGAUUAGCUAGUUGGCGGGGUAAAGGCCCACCAAGGCGACGAUCCGUAGCUGGUCUGAGAGGAUGAUCAGCCACACUGGAACUGAGACACGGUCCAGACUCCUACGGGAGGCAGCAGUGGGGAAUAUUGGACAAUGGGCGCAAGCCUGAUCCAGCCAUACCGCGUGGGUGAAGAAGGCCUUCGGGUUGUAAGGCCCUUUUGUUGGGAAAGAAAAGCAGCAGGUUAAUACCCCGCUGUUCUGACGGUACCCAAAGAAUAAGCACCGGCUAACUUCGUG